UCUUAUGGAUAAGCAAGGAAAGUGGUUUCCUGAAAUGGAACCUACUCUUGGUGAAGAUGCUGUGAA
rnacentral:pre_miRNA from 1 species